GACGAACGCUGGCGGCGUGCCUAAUACAUGCAAGUCGAACGCAGUGGGGACGGGUGAGUCAAACGUGGGUAACCUCCCAUCAGAGGGGAUAACACUUGGAAACAGGUGCUAAACCGAUACUGAUGGAUGGAACCGCGGUGCAUUAGCUAGUUGGUGAGGUAACGGCAUAACAAGGCCACGAUGCAUAGCCGACCUGGGAGGGUGAUCGGCCAAACUGGGACUGAGAGACGGCCCAGACUCCUACGGGAGGCAGCAGUAGGGAAUCUUCGGCAAUGGACGAAAGUCUGACCGAGCAACGCCGCGUGAGUGAAGAAGGUUUUCGGAUCGUAAAACUCUGUUGUUAGAGAAGCGGUAUCUAACCAGAAAGCCACGGCUAACUACGUGCCAGCAGCCGCGGUAAUUC
rnacentral:rRNA from 1 species